ACUCCUGCGGGAGGCAGCAGUGGGGAAUAUUGCACAAUGGGCGCAAGCCUGAUGCAGCGACGCCGCGUGGGGGAUGAAGGCCUUCGGGUUGUAAACUCCUUUCGCUAGGGACGAAGCUUUUUUGUGACGGUACCUAGAUAAGAAGCACCGGCUAACUACGUGCCAGCAGCCGCGGUAAUACGUAGGGUGCGAGCGUUGUCCGGAAUUACUGGGCGUAAAGGGCUCGUAGGUGGUUUGUCGCGUCGUCUGUGAAAUUCUGGGGCUUAACUCCGGGCGUGCAGGCGAUACGGGCAUAACUUGAGUGCUGUAGGGGUAACUGGAAUUCCUGGUGUAGCGGUGAAAUGCGCAGAUAUCAGGAGGAACACCGAUGGCGAAGGCAGGUUACUGGGCAGUUACUGACGCUGAGGAGCGAAAGCAUGGGUAGCGAACAGGAUUAGAUACCCUUGUAGUCCCA
rnacentral:rRNA from 1 species